rnacentral:rRNA from 1 species
UCCACGCCGUAAACGAUGAGAACUAGACGUUGGGUCCAUUUAAGGAUUUAGUGUCGUAGCUAACGCGUGAAGUUCUCCGCCUGGGGAGUACGGCCGCAAGGUUAAAACUCAAAGGAAUUGACGGGGGCCCGCACAAGCGGUGGAGCAUGUGGUUUAAUUCGAUGCAACGCGAAGAACCUUACCUACCCUUGACAUCCUCAGAACUUGUUAGAGAUAACUUGGUGCCUUCGGGA